rnacentral:rRNA from 1 species
GAACCUGCACACAGGUGCUGCAUGGCUGUCGUCAGCUCGUGUCGUGAGAUGUUGGGUUAAGUCCCGCAACGAGCGCAACCCUUGCCAUCAGUUGCUACGAAAGGGCACUCUGAUGGGACUGCCGGUGACAAACCGGAGGGAGGUGGGGAUGACGUCAAGUCCUCAUGGCCCUUACGGCCAGGGCUACACACGUGCUACAAUGGUCGGUACAAAGGGUUGCCAAGCCGCGAGGUGGAGCUAAUCCCAUAAAACCGAUCGUAGUCCGGAUCGCAGUCUGCAACUCGACUGCGUGAAGUCGGAAUCGCUAGUAAUCGUGAAUCAGAAUGUCACGGUGAAUACGUUCCCGGGCCUU